GGAGAGAUGGCCGAGUGGUUGAUGGCACCGGUCUUGAAAACCGGCAUACGAAAGUAUCGUGGGUUCGAAUCCCACUCUCUCCGCCA
rnacentral:tRNA from 1 species